rnacentral:rRNA from 1 species
GCACCUUCGUGGUGUGACUGCGUACCUUUUGUAUAAUGGGUCAGCGACUUAUAUUCAGUGGCAAGGUUAACCGUAUAGGGGAGCCGUAGCGAAAGCGAGUCUUAACUGGGCGCUCAGUCUCUGGAUAUAGACCCGAAACCGGGUGAUCUAGCCAUGGGCAGGUUGAAGGUUGAGUAACAUCAACUGGAGGACCGAACCGACUAAUGUUGAAAAAUUAGCGGAUGACUUGUGGCUAGGGGUGAAAGGCCAAUCAAACUCGGAGAUAGCUGGUUCUCCCCGAAAGCUAUUUAGGUAGCGCCUCGGACGAAUACUACUGGGGGUAGAGCACUGUUAAGGCUAGGGGGUCAUCCCGACUUACCAACCCUUUGCAAACUCCGAAUACCAGUAAGUACUAUCCGGGAGACACACGGCGGGUGCUAACGUCCGUCGUGGAGAGGGAAACAACCCAGACCGCCAGCUAAGGUCCCAAAGUAUUGCUAAGUGGGAAACGAUGUGGGAAGGCUCAGACAGCUAGGAUGUUGGCUUAGAAGCAGCCAUCAUUUAAAGAAAGCGUAAUAGCUCACUAGUCGAGUCGGCCUGCGCGGAAGAUGUAACGGGGCUAAGCAAUACACCGAAGCUGCGGCAAUGUCUUUUAGAUAUUGGGUAGGGGAGCGUUCUGUAAGCCGUUGAAGGUGAAUCGUAA